ACCGACUAAUGUUGAAAAAUUAGCGGAUGACUUGUGGCUGGGGGUGAAAGGCCAAUCAAACCGGGAGAUAGCUGGUUCUCCCCGAAAGCUAUUUAGGUAGCGCCUCGUGAAUUCAUCUCCGGGGGUAGAGCACUGUUUCGGCAAGGGGGUCAUCCCGACUUACCAACCCGAUGCAAACUGCGAAUACCGGAGAAUGUUAUCACGGGAGACACACGGCGGGUGCUAACGUCCGUCGUGAAGAGGGAAACAACCCAGACCGCCAGCUAAGGUCCCAAAGUCAUGGUUAAGUGGGAAACGAUGUGGGAAGGCCCAGACAGCCAGGAUGUUGGCUUAGAAGCAGCCAUCAUUUAAAGAAAGCGUAAUAGCUCACUGGUCGAGUCGGCCUGCGCGGAAGAUGUAACGGGGCUAAACCAUGCACCGAAGCUGCGGCAGCGACGCUGAUGCGUUGUUGGGUA
rnacentral:rRNA from 1 species